rnacentral:lncRNA from 1 species
CUCCCUGGCCACAGGUGACAAUAGGAGGCGCGGUGAGAAGAGUCUGCAGGCUCCCAGCCUUCGCAUGGCUCGCCUCCCUCCCAGCAGCUCAGUGACGGGCUUGGGGGAGGCCCCGUGGAAUUCGGCAGCCCUCAGUCAACGAGCGAAUCACGCGUCCUCUGCCUGAAACUGCCAAGGGCUUUGUCCCCAGCCAGCCUCGGCCCCAGGCUCCUCAAAGGAAACAUCAUGCCUCCAGCCCGGUGUUAAGAUGGAACGAAUGAAACCUACAGUCUGACCGGUCCAGGAGCCCUUCGGAAUAUCUCAUUCUACAGACACAAUCCCCCACUGAGCAAUCUGGGUGCCUUUCUCCCCUGAGCAAUCCAAGCAACAGGCACAAAAUUCUCUGCUAGGAAUAAGCUGGCCACUACAGAGCAAGAGAAAUUAAUUUUUAAAAAAUUAGCAAACAUUAACUAUGAUCUAACAAGAGGGAUGCCUGAACUCCUCGUUCCACCAUGAGUGUUCCCUGUCUGCUAUUUAGCCUCAGUCGUAUGUUGAAUCCAGUCCCCACGCCCAAAGAUAUGGCCACGCUCUGAC